rnacentral:rRNA from 1 species
GACGAACGCUGGCGGCGUGCUUAACACAUGCAAGUCGUACGGUAAGGCCCUUUCGGGGGUCCACGAGUGGCGAACGGGUGAGUAACACGUGAGUAACCUGCCCACAACUUUGGGAUAACGCUAGGAAACUGGUGCUAAUACUGGAUAUGUGCUCCUGCUGCAUGGUGGGGGUUGGGAAGCUCCGGCGGUUGUGGAUGGACUCGCGGCCUAUCAGCUUGUUGGUGGGGUAGUGGCCUACCAAGGCGGCGACGGGUAGCCGGCCUGAGAGGGUGACCGGCCACAUUGGGACUGAGAUACGGCCCAGACUCCUACGGGAGGCAGCAGUGGGGAAUAUUGCACAAUGGGCGCAAGCCUGAUGCAGCAACGCCGCGUGCGGGAUGACGGCCUUCGGGUUGUAAACCGCUUUCAGCAGGGACGAAGCUUUUUGUGACGGUACCUGCAGAAGAAGCACCGGCUAACUACGUG